rnacentral:lncRNA from 1 species
GGUGAUCUUAGGUCAUAGGAUCAGUUGCACAACUCCCACUAAGAGAAUCAUCUUUUGACAUGUAAGUAAGACUUCAUAAGAUUUCUCUUUGUAGGUCAAUUCAGUGAACUCAUUCCUCUAAUGAGCACCCACAUCUUUAUAUUAGUGUCUCCACACAAAUGAUUGUAAGAUCAAUCAUCCUCUGCAUCGAGCAUACAUAAGACAUGCCAGUCUUUCCGGUAAUCAUUGAUCCCCGACUCAAUGUACCAAUGACUG